GGACUAAAACAACCACAUGGUCACAGGACGCUGAGCCAAGAGCAGAGGCAGAGGGAGAGAUGAGCAGAGUCAAAGAGCUGCUGUAGGUGGUCAGCUCUGCAGAGAGUCUAGAUGGUCCAGUUUCAGCUUCAGGUGUCAGCUUAGAGUGGCUGUGCUUGGUGUUCAUGGGCAGGAGCAACCUCUCUGCUGAAGCCUGAUGAGACAGGAAUCUGGAGAUUCUUCACUAUGUCAGUCUCCCUGGGCACACCUUGAGAUGAAACACCAGGUAACUGAUGAGGUCAGGGUCCCACCAUGUCCAGUUUGGGAAGGCUCCUCCUUUUAUGGCUGUUAGGCGAGGGGGUUGCAUCUGGUAAGGUUGAUUAGCUGUGGUGUCUGGUGUUCCUGAUAUGAUUUGGGAAUUUAAUUUCUUAAUUUAAUUUGAUAAAUUCAUGGGUAUAAGUUUUUUAUCAAUUUGUGCCUUAUGGUGGUGCUAGGCAGAUGGUGGUUGUUUAAUUAUAUAAACAGGUGUAGAAUCGUCCCACCUUGGCACAUGUACUCAAAAUGGAGUAGCUUGUGGCAAAUUUUUGUUUAAUAAAAUGGAAUAACUCAGAUUUAGGCAUAGUCUGAAAACUGUUGUUCUAUAUAUGAUAGAGUCACUCACAGCACGUACAGCCUGAGAGCUACGGACCAUGGAGAUAUUCAGAAUAGGCACAGCCUAGGAACUGCUCUUCUUCAUAUCAUGGAAUCACUCAGGGCAGGCACAGCCUGGGAACUACUCUUCUUCAUAUCAUGGAGUCACCAAGGCAGGCACAGCUUGGGAACUGCUGUUCUACACACCAUGGGGUUACUCAGGGCAGGCACAGCCUGAGAACUGAUUUCUUUCUACACACCAUGGAGUCACUAGGGCAGGCACAGCCUGAGAGCUGCUGUUCUACACACCAUGGAAUCACUCAGGGCAGGCACAGCCUGGGAACUACUCUUCUUCAUAUCAUGGAGUCACCAAGGCAGGCACAGCUUGGGAAAUGCUGUUCUACACACCAUGGGGUCACUCAGAGUAGACGCAGCCUGGAAUUGCUGUUCUGUACACUAUGGAGUUACUCUGAGCAGGGCCUGGGCUUCUUCCACACCAUUUUGUUGUAUAUUAUUCUGCGCUUUCUUGUUUGUUUCAUGUACUCUGAUUCUAUAAGCAGCACUCCUGCAGGUGACCAGGCAGCAAGCACAACACUGUGCUAGAUGAUUUGAACAGAGGGCACUGACAUUUGGUGACAGGUGCAGCCUCCUGGGCCACAAGACCCAUCCUGACCUACCUGCUUCUGCCUCUAGAGCUCCUGAUUCCUGUGGUGUGUUUCCCUCAGCCUUGCAGAGCAGUGUGUGACCCUUUAGGUUUAGCCCGCUGUGGCUUUGCUGGGCCUGAACAGACGUGCAUUGGACAUUGAGCUUCCUUCUAGGCACAGUGCCACAUAGCAUAUGAGGGAAUGGAUACUGUGAUUUUUAUUCAACUAAAAGGAAACUGACAUUCAGGCUUCUGGGGUCUGGGGCCUGGUGAGGGGCUCCUCAGGUCUUUCCUCUGUCCACUUUUCACAGGGAGUCCAGCCACCGCCUGGUGAGAUUCUUUUUCCAAACAUGGGCAAGCUGAGGGCACUGGAAGGACACAACUUCUCCACCAUCCUCCUCCCUGAACCAGAACCCUGCAGGAGAGUCUGAACCCCUCUCCUUGCAUUGGGGUGUCCAAGGACUCCAUCAACUCCAAACAUCAAGGUAAAGAUGUUCUCCACCCCUGUGUGCUCACAGCUGAUGGCCCAGCAAGGGGCAUGCUGACCCUCACAAAGUCAGGCAAGAGGCUUGCUGGCCCAACAGCUGUGAGUCCCAACUCCACUGUGGCUCGACAAAAUGUGCACCCCCAAGACCCCAGUGUUCUGGAGAAGCUAUUUACAUGACUGUAAGCCCCAAG
rnacentral:lncRNA from 1 species